UACGUAGGGGGCUAGCGUUGUCCGGAAUCAUUGGGCGUAAAGAGCGCGUAGGCGGCCAGAUAAGUCCGGUGUGAAAGUCACAGGCUCAACCUGUGAAUGCCGCUGGAAACUGUCUGGCUAGAGUCCGGGAGGGGCGAGUGGAAUUCCUGGUGUAGCGGUGAAAUGCGCAGAUAUCAGGAGGAACACCAUUGCGAAGGCAGCUCGCUGGGACGUUACUGACGCUGAGACGCGAAAGCGUGGGGAGCAAACAGG
rnacentral:rRNA from 1 species